AUAUCAAUAAGCGGAGGAAAAGAAACUAACAAGGAUUCCCCUAGUAACUGCGAGUGAAGCGGGAAUAGCUCAAACUGAAAAUUGGAGACCCCUGGGGCCUCCGAAUUGUAGUCUAGAGAACUGGUGGUAGCGUGUGGCCCAGGCCUAAGUCCCUUGGAAUAGGGCGUCAUUGAGGGUGAGAACCCCGUCUAUGGCUUGGAGUCCGCCGCGUACGUCACUAGCUUCUACGAGUCGGGUUGUUUGGGAAUGCAGCCCAAAAUGGGUGGUAAAUUCCAUCUAAAGCUAAAUAUUUGCGAGAGACCGAUAGCGCACAAGUA
rnacentral:rRNA from 1 species